CUCAGAUUGGUGUAGCGGUAACACGUCCGGAGUCACCAGUCAAAGCCUACAGAGCUGAAGCUGGCCCGUGAAGGGGCGGAAGUGCCGGGUUCGAAUCCUGGAUCUGGGA